CAUACAAUAAUUAAUAUAUUUUUUUUCUAUUUUGCGAUUUUUGUUUUUAUAUUUAAUUUUUAGAUCUAGGCCCAAAAUGACAGGAUAAUGAUCUGUAACGAGAUACUGUAGAAUGUCAGCAUCAGCAUCGUCACCUCCGGGGUUAAAACCUCUCACAAAAAAAUGAUCGAGACAAGUUCCGCUGUCUGGACGAGUUGGAAGAUUUAUCAUAGAGGCGAACCCAUAUGAAGAUAAAAUGUUCUUAUAUUCCUCUACUACAUUGUCAUGACUGAGUAUUUCCUUAUCUCAAUGUUGAACGACUCUAAAGCUGUCCCUGGCGACCGAUAUAUGGCGGACAGUUUGAAGUUUUCUCCAUUCGACGUUUUUAUAUCAAUAUCUAAUAAGUUAGAGUAAUCAAUUUUGAUUAUUUGGCAUUUAUAAUUAAUGUUUUCUUUGAUAUAUACUAAUACACCGUCAUUUUUGUUAAAUUUUCCUUCAUUAUAAACAAUAUUAUAUCCUGGUAUAUUAUAUAGGUCUAUAUUCUCUA